GCCAGGCUGCGGGGCGGCUGCCGGGCCCCAGGGCGACCUGGGGUGACCGUGGAGCCUCCCUCCUGCCGCUGGGCGGGCCCUCCUCCCCGGCCGGCCGCGCGCCGAGCAGUGAGAGCCCCGCGGUCCGCUCCGCACUCGCGUCCGGCUCCACGAAGCCGAGUUGUGAGAAGGCUUAUUUCAAAGCUGACCACAGCUGCACCCCAAGCGUCCGCUGCUGCUGCUGACAUUGACCCGCCACUCGGUAUUCCGCCGGGCUCACAAACGGUGUGAAUGAAACUGCCCAGGAAGCCGGAUGCGCCAUUCGAGGCAAGUCCCCCGUCUCCUGGAAAGUGGGCCUGCGCUGGGAGAGUCUUCCGUUCCGACUCACUGCGGCUUGCUGUUUCAUUUGUAACAGACUGUCAGCUUCCCAGAGGACAUCCUUGAUUCUGUUCUGUACUUCUUCCUCCAACAGCGCACCACUGCAAAAUGUCAUGCUUCAAUUUAAGGACUCAGUGAGUUUCCAGACUGUGUAAAAAUAAGUCUCCAGGCUUCUUUUCCUGAUCUCUUUCUACAAAGAGGCCACAGUAGGGCAGCACAGCACCACCAGCCCCCGCCCUAAUCAACAGAGGCUGCCCCCUACCAGCUUACAGCUUUUCAAGUACAGAGGACAACUGGUGAUCUGCGGUAUUCCCUGUGAAAUUCAUCCAUGUUCCUACAAAUGGGAGUUUAUCUUUAUCCACAGGUCAUGAUAUAUUUCAAAUUAACUUGUCUAUAUGGUGUGAGGUGAAGGGUCAAGAUUUUCCUCCCCACAUGGAUAUUCAAUUAAGACAGAAGCAUUUACUGGUAAGACCCACUUUUCCCCACUGAAUUGCAUUGGUGCCUCUUCAUAAAUCAAGUGACUCCACAGAAUUUAAUCUUUAAUGAUAAGUUCCGGUUCUAAAAAGAACUUUAGAAAUUUUAGUUAUUUGCUAUCAGAAAAUUAUAAACAAGUAUUUUAGUAUGAUAUAUUCCAGAAUCUGUUAAAAAUAUUUUUUUAACAAAUACCGAACUCUAAAUGAAUGCAAGACACUGUGCUACAUAAUAUAAAAGGCCUUUUGUAUAUUAUGUUAAGUCUUUCCUCAUUAUCUAACAAGAAAAUCAAUCACAUUCAAAAAUACAUCGAGUACUAGAAGCCAUGCUGGUACGAGUUGUUUUGUAUCCUCAAGGGUGCUUUUUGUGCAGAAAAUACUUCUUCAAAGGUUUACUUUGAUACUUUUAAAUAUUCAACUUAUUAAAGUUAAAAAUACAAAAAUUCAGUUAGUCCUUAAAGCUUUUAGAUUCGCUUACAAAUCUUUUUCUAUGUUCAAGACUAGCAGAUUUUAGAAGUCACUUUCAAGAGGCUUUUGAAGAAUGCCUGAUGCCAUCUACCAACCUGACUGACUAAAUGCCACUAAAAUUUUUAACCUACAUUUAUAAACGUAACAUUUUACUUCCUUCUUAGUUCUUCAAUUGUCUUACUUAACAAAGCAUAACUUACAUAUAAAAACUUUCAUAAACUUGGUAAAUUAAACUUAUAAAUGAGUAAGCCUAAAUUUCUUCUAAAUGUUCCCCAAAGUACUUAACAUAAAUUUAUAUGUAAAAACCACAGCUCCAAAUUAUUCCAUAAUACAUUUUAAAUUGGAAUUGCAUGCUUAUCACCCUCAUCAGCUAUAUUUUCUUAAAUUACAAAUACAUAAAAAUAAUAAACAAAUAUGUACAUAUCCAUUAACAAAAAAUAGUAUUAUUAUAGUUUUGAUUCUCUUAGACAUUUCCAAUCUUAAUUCUGAAAUGUCCCUGGAGCUGAAAGAUGCUUACACACAGCAGAAAAUAAGCAUCACCCAAGUUAACCAAGGUAACAUUUAACCAGAAAUUUCAGCUGGUAUGAGAUCUGGAGCUGCUAACAUACUUCUCACACCAAAUAGUAUACAAUCCCAUUUAAUUUCAUGGGGGCUGCCUUCAGCAUUUUGAUGUUACCCACAGCCAGCUAUUUCAGCAAGGACAGUGACUGGAUUCUUGUCAGAGAUUCUGAUGGCACAUACUAAGCCUUAUUUAAAGUUGCUAAGCCAAUCACUCUAUCACUUCUAAGGUGUGGGAAAGGGGAUGACAACAUCACUAACUCUUUGGUGCAGUGGUAGAACUCCACCACUUCAGGCAGGUAAGUUAUUUGACUGUACCUUGCUCUUCUUUGGUUCUAAAGAUAGGCCCUUGCCUUUUCCAUUUUAUCUCUAAAGAGUCUGAACUUGAAAAACAUAAAAUAUUAAUUUAUCUUCUAUAUAAUUCUAAAAACCUUAAAACUAGAUGGACAAUGGCAUUCUUUCAGAUUAUAAGGACUACAUAACUUUUACAGAUUAUAUUAAAAUAUUAUCAGUUGAACUUUAAACAUCUCACGGUUCUUUGUCUAGCUUAUAGUCAAGUGCUGAGAUUAUUCUACUGAUUUUCAAAACAUAGGGAGACAAAAACAUAUACAUUCAAGAAGCUUAUAAUUUAGCUAAAAAUAUACACAUAUUUUAUGAAUUAUACUGGACACCUCUUUCUAUCCACACAUAAAUACUGUAAGUAGAGCCUUGCUGAAAAAGAGUUCCCUACUAAACUGUAAACAAGAGUCCUCAAAAAUAACAAACUGGCAGAUAAGACCCUUAAGAACUUUGAUAAAUAUAUAAAUAAAGUUUAUCUCUAAUGCAUUAAAGAUUCUAUCUUUCAGUUAUCUUUUCUGUAACAUCAAGAAAAAACAAAUAGGAAUUCUUGAUAAGAUGUAACAAAUAUUCUGUUAUAUACAUAGGUGAUCUUACCAGAAGAUAAAAAAGGAAAGGUCGAAAAAAUAAAUAAAAGAAUACAGCUCAUGACAUGGCAGUCCUUUAGGGUUCCUGGGUCUCAAACAUCGAAGGGCUUGAGAUUUAAAAAGCACACAGUGAGGCCUGAGACAAGGCCUGAGGCCCACACACAUCAAAGAAGAUGAACUGAGACUAGUACAUAAAGCCAUGAUGCUCAAAGGGCAGAAUUUAAACAUGCACAUGGAAGGAACAAGACAUCUGUCUAUCUGGGCCCAUGUUCUGUAUUUGUGGAUGAGGUACAAGUCUCCCCUAGAAACAGUAACCAAGAGCCUGCUCUCAUGUGAUUCGGGAUUUAGUUGAAUACUCCCUUAAGCAAAGAAAUGUACCUAAAAGUGGUCCAGGCAGGUGACAUCACUUAAGCACCUGGCUAAAGCCAACAGAGACCCUCUCAGGAGUGACAUCCCUCUAAACAAGCCACACAUUACAAUGACUCAAACCUUGAAGGGACAUUCUCAACUUCACCACAAACAAGAGCCCUCAGAAAUAACAAAGAAAGAUAUGGCUCCAAAUAACUUCCAACAAUAGAACAAUCAGUUAGAGAUGAUAAAAUCAAUGUUUAAAAUGGUUAAAAGCAUAAAAAAGAAGAAUUUGAAACAAAAGAAACACAAAUCUUAAGUAGUGUUAAAUAAAAAUAAAUCCACACUGAAAUUACUUAUAGUGAAACUAUUUAACACCAAGACAAAAAACAAAAUCAUAAAAACAAUGAGAGAGAAAAGAGAAGUUAUGUACAAACAACAGAUUGCUAAUGCAAUCUACUACCAUCAUUAAUGUCAUCUUCAAAGCCCAGACACCGCGAGCCUGGAUAUGUUGAGCUGAACUGAAUACAGAAAAAGCAGGAUGGGGACCAGGGAACAAGAGGAGGAGGUAAGAGAAGGAGAAGAGGCCAGUCAGGGAAGGAAAAAAA